rnacentral:rRNA from 1 species
GAUGAACGCUGGCGGCGUGCCUAAUACAUGCAAGUCGAGCGAACAGACGAGGAGCUUGCUCCUCUGACGUUAGCGGCGGACGGGUGAGUAACACGUGGAUAACCUACCUAUAAGACUGGGAUAACUUCGGGAAACCGGAGCUAAUACCGGAUAAUAUAUUGAACCGCAUGGUUCAAUAGUGAAAGACGGUUUUGCUGUCACUUAUAGAUAGAUCCGCGCCGCAUUAGCUAGUUGGUAAGGUAACGGCUUACCAAGGCGACGAUGCGUAGCCGACCUGAGAGGGUGAUCGGCCACACUGGAGCUGGGACACGGUCCAGACUCCUACGGGAGGCAGCAGUAGGGAAUCUUCCGCAAUGGGCGAAAGCCUGACGGAGCAGCGCCGCGUGAGUGAUGAAGGUCUUCGGAGCGUAAAACUCUGUUAUUAGGGAAGAACAAAUGUGUAAGUAACUAUGCACGUCUUGACGGUACCUAAUCAGAAAGCCACGGCUAACUACGUG